rnacentral:rRNA from 1 species
GAUGAACGCUGGCGGCGUGCCUAAUACAUGCAAGUCGAGCGAACAGAUAAGGAGCUUGCUCCUUUGACGUUAGCGGCGGACGGGUGAGUAACACGUGGGUAACCUACCUAUAAGACUGGGAUAACUUCGGGAAACCGGAGCUAAUACCGGAUAACAUUUGGAACCGCAUGGUUCUAAAGUGAAAGAUGGUUUUGCUAUCACUUAUAGAUGGACCCGCGCCGUAUUAGCUAGUUGGUAAGGUAACGGCUUACCAAGGCGACGAUACGUAGCCGACCUGAGAGGGUGAUCGGCCACAGUGGAACUGAGACACGGUCCAGACUCCUACGGGAGGCAGCAGUAGGGAAUCUUCCGCAAUGGGCGAAAGCCUGACGGAGCAACGCCGCGUGAGUGAUGAAGGGUUUCGGCUCGUAAAACUCUGUUAUUAGGGAAGAACAAACGUGUAAGUAACUGUGCACGUCUUGACGGUACCUAAUCAGAAAGCCACGGCUAACUACGUG